GUUAAGAAGCUCCACUGUGCUCUGUCCAUUGCAAGUUGAGAGGUGAGGCCACAGCGGCCACAUACAGCUCCAUCACAAGAGGGAGCCCCAUCCCUAGUCCCCAUCCUUAAAGCUCUCUGCGUGUUGGCUGCUGUUAGUCUUGACUACCCUGUGGGAGCUAAAGCCCUGGACCUGAGAAUAGAAGGCAAGCAGUGGUGGCUGAGAGGAAGGACAGACACCUUUGUGCUACCAGAGCCCUUUCCAGAUGUGCUGUUGGUGGCCCUGUCGGAGUCUGUUGGCCAUAUACCUGGGUAUCAAAUCAAGAAAGCAUGAGAAGUUGAACAGGAAAUAUCCAAGGCAAAAUGGUUACUAAAGGCCAUCCCUGACCCUGACCCCAAAAGAAGAAAAGACCCUUUGCUCUUGGCAUGCUUUUGCAGGAGUGUCUCAGUCUGUUCAGGCUGCUAUAACAUUGACUGAGUG